GUUGAAAAGCCCAGGGUGGAGAUCGAUUGAUAGGAUGGCUAAAACAUAAAGUGGGUUAGGUAAGAGAACAUGCUGCAACAGUUUUAGCAGGCCUAAUGAAGGGUGGGGAUGAAAACCUAGCUGAAGACUUCCGUGGUAGGGCUUACAGAGAUGCAAAUGCAAUUCAAAAGAAGAGAAGACAGAGAAAUUCAAGUUCUGGUCUGUCCAUAGCUUCCAUACACGGUGCUGUACUUGCUUUGGCAGCUUGUGUUUUAUCUGUUCCAUAUGAUAUGCCCAGGUAUGUUCAUGUCUAACAUAUACUAGGGCUGUGUUUGGAUUUAGGAUUAGGGUAGGGAUUUG